CGUUGCUUUCUAUGGGGCGCCCCACAUAUUUCCCCCCUCCCCCCAGGGCUCCGCCCCCCAAGCGCGCUCUCCCGGAAGCGGUGGCGGCCGCGCGGCUGCGGGCGCUGGGGCUGUACCACGACCACCGAUAUGGCGGGAACGGGCUGCCCCAGGUCCCCCACCCGCAGGCGUCCGCGAUGUCGCCCUGAGACCCCCGCAACCUCUGCCCCACGGCGCUAUGGGGCGCCCCACAACCGCCUGUGUUGAGAUGGAGCCAGGAGGAGCCCCUCCCCCCCAGCCCCACAUUUGGGGAUCCUGAGCCCCAUAGAUACCACAUGUGGGGCUGGGGGAGAGGGGGGGAGAGGGGAAGGGAAAUGUGUGGGGCAGACCCCAAUAUGCGGGGCUUCAAUUUUC